UCAAGAAACUUCCACAAUGGGCGAAAGCCUAAUGGAGCGACGUCGCGUGAUGGACGAAGUGCUUCGGCACGUAAACAUCUUUUAUGUGGGAUGAAAUUAUUGACAGUACCACAUGAAUAAGGGGCUCCUAACUCUGUGCCAGCAGGAGCGGUAAUACAGAGGCCCCAAGCGUUAUCCGGAAUCACUGGGCGUAAAGGGUGUCGAGGCGGUUGUAUUAGUCGUUCGUAAAAUCUACGGGCUUAACUUGUAGGCGGCGAACGAAACGGUACGACUUGAGGUUUGGAGAGGUGCGUGGAACUCACGGUGUAGGGGUGAAAUCCGUUGAUAUCGUGGGGAACACCAAAGGCGAAGGCAGCGCACUGGCCAAAAUCUGACGCUCACACACGAAAGCUAGGGUAGCGAAGAGGAUUAGAUACCCUUGUAGUCCCUGAGCGGGCUGGCAAGGCG
rnacentral:rRNA from 1 species